rnacentral:rRNA from 1 species
GACGAACGCUGGCGGCGCGCCUAACACAUGCAAGUCGAACGAGCGAGCGAGAGCUUGCUUUCUCGAGCGAGUGGCGAACGGGUGAGUAACGCGUGAGGAACCUGCCUCAAAGAGGGGGACAACAGUUGGAAACGACUGCUAAUACCGCAUAAGCCCACGGCUCGGCAUCGAGCAGGGGGAAAAGGAGCGAUCCGCUUUGAGAUGGCCUCGCGUCCGAUUAGCUAGUUGGUGAGGUAACGGCCCACCAAGGCGACGAUCGGUAGCCGGACUGAGAGGUUGAACGGCCACAUUGGGACUGAGACACGGCCCAGACUCCUACGGGAGGCAGCAGUGGGGAAUAUUGCACAAUGGGGGAAACCCUGAUGCAGCGACGCUGCGUGGAGGAAGAAGGUCUUCGGAUUGUAAACUCCUGUUGUUGGGGAAGAUAAUGACGGUACCCAACAAGGAAGUGACGGCUAACUACGU